CUCUGUAUUUUAAAGGAUGC
rnacentral:miRNA from 1 species